CAAGAAAAGACAAAAAUUUAAA
rnacentral:sRNA from 1 species